rnacentral:rRNA from 1 species
UACGUAGGUGACCAGCGUUGUCCGGAUUUACUGGGCGUAAAGAGCGCGCAGGCGGUCGUUCAAGUCGAGUGUGAAAGCCCCCGGCUCAACUGGGGAGGGUCAUUCGAUACUGAUCGACUCGAAGGCAGGAGAGGGAAGUGGAAUUCCCGGUGUAGUGGUGAAAUGCGUAGAUAUCGGGAGGAACACCAGUGGCGAAGGCGACUUCCUGGCCCGAUACUGACGCUGAGGCACGAAAGCGUGGGGAGCAAACAGG